UGGCUCAGAUUGAACGCUGGCGGCAGGCUUAACACAUGCAAGUCGAGCGGAAACGAUGAUAGCUUGCUAUCAGGCGUCGAGCGGCGGACGGGUGAGUAAUACUUAGGAAUCUACCUAGUAGUGGGGGAUAGCACGGGGAAACUCGUAUUAAUACCGCAUACGACCUACGGGAGAAAGGGGGCAGUUUACUGCUCUCGCUAUUAGAUGAGCCUAAGUCGGAUUAGCUAGAUGGUGGGGUAAAGGCCUACCAUGGCGACGAUCUGUAGCUGGUCUGAGAGGAUGAUCAGCCACACCGGGACUGAGACACGGCCCGGACUCCUACGGGAGGCAGCAGUGGGGAAUAUUGGACAAUGGGGGAAACCCUGAUCCAGCCAUGCCGCGUGUGUGAAGAAGGCCUUUUGGUUGUAAAGCACUUUAAGCAGUGAAGAAGACUCCUCGGUUAAUACCCGUGGACGAUGACAUUAGCUGCAGAA
rnacentral:rRNA from 1 species